rfam:Triticum aestivum genome assembly, contig: Triticum_aestivum_CS42_TGACv1_scaffold_569843_7AS
UGAGUACUCCCUCCGUUCCGAAUUACUUGUCGCAGGUAUGGAUGUAUCUAGAGGUAUUUGAGUUCUAGAUACAUCCAUUUCUGCGACAAGUAAUUCGGAACGGAUGGAGUAGUUG